UACGUAGGGUGCGAGCGUUAAUCGGAAUUACUGGGCGUAAAGCGUGCGCAGGCGGUUAUGUAAGACAGAUGUGAAAUCCCCGGGUUUAAUUUGGGAUUUGCAUUUGUGACUGCAUAGCUAGAGUACGGUAGAGGGGGAUGGAAUUCCGCGUGUAGCAGUGAAAUGCGUAGAUAUGCGGAGGAAUAUUGAUGGUGAAGGCAAUCUUUUGGACCUGUACUGACGCUCAUGCACGAAAGCGUGGGGAGCAAACAGG
rnacentral:rRNA from 1 species